rnacentral:rRNA from 1 species
CACGGGUGAGUAACACGUAUCCAACCUGCCGUCUACUCUUGGACAGCCUUCUGAAAGGAAGAUUAAUACAAGAUGGCAUCAUGAGUCCGCAUGUUCACAUGAUUAAAGGUAUUCCGGUAGACGAUGGGGAUGCGUUCCAUUAGAUAGUAGGCGGGGUAACGGCCCACCUAGUCUUCGAUGGAUAGGGGUUCUGAGAGGAAGGUCCCCCACAUUGGAACUGAGACACGAUCCAAACUCCUACGGGAGGCAGCAUG